rnacentral:lncRNA from 1 species
GUAGCCGUGAGGAGAUGAGAGGCGAGCACUCCGUAGGCUUUAAAUCCUCCUACAGUCUCGGCAUGCCACUGGUUAUAGGACAAUCCCAGCUGGAAAGGAACCGUGGAUGGGAACUCUUCUGGUGUUCGUUUCAAAAUCGCAUUUUUCAGGGAACUGAACCUAGGACCUCCUAUGUGGGAAGCAGGUGCUCAACUGCUUGAGCCACAUCAGCCCCCACCUCCCAAAU